UUGCCCCAUGUCUUUGCCUGGGAUGCAUCCUGUGUGUGGAUGUUCUUCCGGUGAGCUGCUUUUCUCAGAAGCUACAGCUCAGGAGUCUCCCACUCCAGGAACCCUUCCCUGACCCCCUGGCUCACAGCCCCAGCCACUCGGCAUUAUCCAGUGGUGUGCUAGAGUGACUUGUACCUGCUUGCAAGAACCAAUUGUUAAAUUUUCAGGAAUUUUACAAGGAAGUUGACAUCAUGUUUAUAGUUUGAAUUUGGCCAUAAGAGUUUUUGCACCAUGGAAAUGGGCAGUUCUACAAAGAAGGGGUUCCCAGUUAAAUCGGAGCUCCAGUUAAAUGGCUUAACAUUUACCAGCACAUGACUGGCCAUCACCUAAACUGGGAAAUCUCAAGGACUGGGACUGCACCUGACUUUUCUCUGUGCUCAGCACAGAGUCAGGCACAGAAGCCAACUGGCUUUACAGUGGGGGAUGACCUGGGGCCUGGAGAGAGGAUCCCUGAUAUGAGACUACUCCUGAGACAGCUAGUGAGAAGGCAGGUGGCAGAAGGGAACGGAUUGGAGAAAGGACCCUUGUGUGGCUGGUGAAAGCUUCCCUGCCAUAUCCUCAUCCCCCGACCACACAAUAGGGCACAGCUCAGCAGGCAACACAACCUUUAGUAUAAGUUACAGCCUCACACUGGCUCCUAGCCCAUGGGAGCCUCCAGAUGGGUCUAUGAUAUUAGUCCCCAGAUGUUCAUCUCUUGGGCUGGGGGUACUCCUCAGAGCUAAGUCCACCGUGGCACCCAGUCCAUUCCAGACCACUGUGCAAACUCAGCCCUCAUUACUUACCAGGGUUUUCUGGCCAACCUGUGACUUGGCCCCCACCCCAGGUAGCUCAGCUCCAGACUCUGGUAUGUGAUCUUGGUAAGCCACCUUCCUCUCUGGGCCUGUUUCUCCAUUUGACUUGAUUAGGCUGGACUCCAACCUAGGUACCUUGGCAGUACAGCCAGCUACUUGCAUGGGAGUCAGGCCAGGGGUGUCAUUGACCUUGAGCUCUUGCCUUUCUUGAAACUUAAUUCCCCCAACUUAUACACACAAACGAUGACUAGGGGUUAUGGGAACAGUUGACUCUGGACCACAGAGUGAAUAUCCUGAGCCCCUGUCAAAUGACGGAGCAUGGGGUCAUCCAGCAUGAGUCACUGAUGGUCCAUAUCUGGGGAGACUGUGGCGUCUGCACAAGUCCUGGUCCUCUACAGCUUCCCAAUAUAAACCUGCACAGGCUGAAGUGUUCUGCUCCUACAGCCGAAUGUCCUUAGUGUUCUCGCUACCAGCCGGCGUGGACUCUGUCCGCCUAGAGUCCUCACUGCUGCCCAACACAUCUUCUAUCCUCUGCAUGUCAGUUCUGUCGGAUCUGCGCAGGCCCAGCCUGCGGCGAGCCGGGGUGGCAGGGCUGGGGCCAGUGGGUGGCUUGGCAUCUCGGGCAAAGCGUACGAGCCUCUGCCCAGCCAGGAAGUAGAGCACGGGGUCAAGGCAACUGUUAGCACUGGCCAGCGGCCGGGUAACCUUGUAGGCCAUGUUGAUGGCGUUGAGGGUGUGGCAGCUGAGGUCCAGCGAGCGGAAGGAGUAGUAGAGGGUGCGGGUGACGUGGAAUGGCAGGAAGCAGAGGGCGAAGACAGCCAGCACCACGGCGAUGGUGCGCACGGACUUGCGCUUGGCCCUAGGCAGGCCGCCCGAGGUCCCGUAGGCUGGCUUUAGCAGUCGCCGAGCCAUGAGCACGUAACAGACAAGGAUGACGGCAAAGGGCACCGCGAAGAGCAGGCCCAGCAUGACUGAGCUGUAGGCCACGAAGCGGCUGAAGAGCUCGGGUGCCGAGGUGUCGUGGCAGGUUGGUGUAGAAGAGGAAGCGCACCAGCUUGCAGAGCACCGUGCUGAAGGGCCAGUGGUCGCCGCGGGCGUAGUAAUAGACCAGCAGCGGCAGGGAGGCCGCAUACAGUGCAUCAGACACAGCCAGGUGGAACAUAUAUGUGGUGGACGCAUUCCAGGUCUUGAGGCGGCACAAGAAGAUGUAGAGCGCCACGGCGUUCAGACACAGCCCAGGCACGCACACCACGCCGUAGGACACAGGCAGCAGCACGUACUUGAAGUCCUCGUUGAAGCGGCACCUGUAGCCCAGCUCAUCCCCAUCCCAGGUGCCAUUGAUGGUGUCAUUCCAGGGGCCCAGGUCUGCUGCCAUCGCCCUGCAGGGAAGGGAGGGGUGGGGCCAUCAGGGUUGUGGCCGGAGCGCCCCUAGGGGACCUGACACAGCCACCUGACCAGGGCUUUCAUUGCCAUCUGACUU
rnacentral:lncRNA from 1 species